rnacentral:tRNA from 1 species
GGUGGCUCAGUGGUAGAGCACUUGCCUUGCAGGCAUGAGGCCCUGGGUUCGUUCGAUUCCUCAGCACCG